rnacentral:rRNA from 1 species
CCUACGGGAGGCAGCAGUGGGGAAUAUUGCACAAUGGGCGCAAGCCUGAUGCAGCCAUGCCGCGUGAAUGAUGAAGGCCUUAGGGUUGUAAAAUUCUUUCGCCAAGGAUGAUAAUGACAGUACUUGGUAAAGAAGCCCCGGCUAACUUCGUGCCAGCAGCCGCGGUAAUACGAAGGGGGCUAGCGUUGUUCGGAAUUACUGGGCGUAAAGCGCACGUAGGCGGACUUUUAAGUCAGAUGUGAAAUCCCAAGGCUCAACCUUGGAACUGCAUUUGAAACUGGGAGUCUAGAGAUCAGGAGAGGUUAGUGGAAUACCGAGUGUAGAGGUGAAAUUCGUAGAUAUUCGGUGGAACACCAGUGGCGAAGGCGACUAACUGGACUGAUACUGACGCUGAGGUGCGAAAGUGUGGGGAGCAAACAGGAUUAGAUACCCCAGUAGUC